rnacentral:rRNA from 1 species
UAGCUAGUUGGUAGGGUAAAGGCCUACCAAGGCGACGAUCGGUAGCUGGUCUGAGAGGAUGGCCAGCCACACUGGAACUGAGACACGGUCCAGACUCCUACGGGAGGCAGCAGUGGGGAAUAUUGGACAAUGGGGGGAACCCUGAUCCAGCAAUGCCGCGUGUGUGAAGAAGGCCUGAGGGUUGUAAAGCACUUUCAGUGGGGAGGAGUGUUGAUAGGUUAAGAGCUAAUUAACUGGACGUUACCCACAGAAGAAGCACCGGCUAACUCCGUGCCAGCAGCCGCGGUAAUACGGAGGGUGCGAGCGUUAAUCGGAAUUACUGGGCGUAAAGGGUGCGUAGGUGGUUUAUUAAGUUAUCUGUGAAAUCCCUGGGCUCAACCUGGGCAGGUCAGAUAAUACUGAUAGACUCGAGUAUAGGAGAGGGUAGUGGAAUUUCCGGUGUAGCGGUGAAAUGCGUAGAGAUCGGAAGGAACACCAGUGGCGAAGGCGGCUACCUGGCCUAAUACUGACACUGAGGCACGAAAGCGUGGGGAGCAAACAGGACUAGAUACCCUGGUAGUCCACGCUGUAAACGAUGUCAACUAGCUGUUGGUUAUAUGAAUAUAAUUAGUGGCGC